rnacentral:rRNA from 1 species
GUGAGGAAUUUUCCGCAAUGGGCGAAAGCCUGACGCAGCCAUGCCGCGUGAAUGAUGAAGGUCUUAGGAUUGUAAAAUUCUUUCACCGGGGAUGAUAAUGACGGUACCCGGAGAAGAAGCUCCGGCUAACUUCGUGCCAGCAGCCGCGGUAAUACGAAGGGGGCUAGCGUUGCUCGGAAUUACUGGGCGUAAAGGGCGCGUAGGCGGACAGCUUAGUCAGAGGUGAAAGCCCAGGGCUCAACCUUGGAAUUGCCUUUGAUACUGGCUGUCUUGAGUUUGGGAGAGGUGAGUGGAACUCCGAGUGUAGAGGUGAAAUUCGUAGAUAUUCGGAAGAACACCAGUGACGAAGGCGACUCACUGGCCCAAUACUGACGCUGAGGCGCGAAAGCGUGGGGAGCAAACAGGAUUAGAUACCCAGUAGUCC